GAUGAACGCUAGCGGAAGGCAUAAUACAUGCAAGUCGAACGGAUGUAGCAAUACAUUAGUGGCGCACGGGUGCGUAACGCGUAUGCAACCUACCUUCAUCAGGGGGAUAACUACCCGAAAGGGUGGCUAACACCGCAUAAUACUAUUGAGUGGCAUCACUUGGUAUUUAAAUCUGAGGAGGAUGAAGAUGGGCAUGCGUCUGAUUAGCUAGUUGGUGUGGUAACGGCGCACCAAGGCGACGAUCAGUAGGGGAACUGAGAGGUUGGUCCCCCACACUGGCACUGAGAUACGGGCCAGACUCCUACGGGAGGGAGCAGUAGGGAAUAUUGGUCAAUGGUGGGAACACUGAACCAGCCAUUCCGCGUGCAGGAAGAAGGGUCUCUGACUUGUAAACUGCUUUAGCAAGGGAAGAAAAAGCUCAUGCGUGAGAAAUUGACGGUACCUUGAGAAUAAGCACCGGCUAACUACGUGCCAGCCGCCGCGGUAAUAC
rnacentral:rRNA from 1 species